rnacentral:rRNA from 1 species
UACGUAGGUGGCAAGCGUUGUCCGGAAUUACUGGGUGUAAAGCGCGUGUAGGCGGCAGGCCAAGUCUGCGGUGAAAGCGCCCGGCUCAACUGGGCGAGGUCCGUGGAAACUGGUCAGCUGGAGGACGGUAGAGGCGAGUGGAAUUCCUGGUGUAGCGGUGGAAUGCGCAGAUAUCAGGAGGAACACCAAUAGCGAAGGCAGCUCGCUGGGACGGUACUGACGCUAAGGCGCGAAAGCGUGGGGAGCGAACAGG